CCUACGGGUGGCUGCAGUGGGGAAUAUUGGACAAUGGGGGGAACCCUGAUCCAGCGACGCCGCGUGAGUGAAGAAGUAUUUCGGUAUGUAAAGCUCUAUCAGCAGGGGAGAAAGAAAUGACGGUACCUGACUAAGAAGCCCCGGCUAACUACGUGCCAGAAGCCGCGGAAAUACGGAGGAUGCGAGCGUUAUCCGGAUUCAUUGGGUUUAAAGGGUGCGCAGGCGGAGGUGAAAGUCAGCGGGCAAAUUGCGGGGCUAAACCCCGUACUGCCGUUGAAACUGCAUGCCUUGAGUGCGCGAGAAGUAUGCGGAAUGCGUGGUGUAGCGGUGAAAUGCAUAGAUAUCACGAAGAACUCCGAUUGCGAAGGCAGCAUACCGGCGCGCCACUGACGCUCAUGCACGAAAGCGUGGGUAUCGAACAGGAUUAGAUACCCUAGUAGUC
rnacentral:rRNA from 1 species